UACGGGGGGGGCAAGCGUUGUUCGGAAUUACUGGGCGUAAAGGGUUCGUAGGUGGCUCGCUAAGUCAGACGUGAAAUCCCUCAGCCUAACUGGGGAACUGCGUCUGAGACUGGCAAGCUUGAGUGCAGGAGAGGAACGCGGAAUUCCAGGUGUAGCGGUGAAAUGCGUAGAUAUCUGGAGGAACACCGGUGGCGAAGGCGGCGUUCUGGACUGCAACUGACACUGAGGAACGAAAGCCAGGGGAGCAAACGGG
rnacentral:rRNA from 1 species